rnacentral:rRNA from 1 species
GACGAACCGUGCAAACGUUGUUCGGAAUCACUGGGCUUAAAGGGCGCGUAGGCGGGCUCCCAAGUCGGUGGUGAAAUCUUUCGGCCCAACCGGAAAAGUGCCGCCGAUACUGGGAGUCUCGAGGGAGGUAGGGGUCGAGGGAACUUCCGGUGGAGCGGUGAAAUGCGUAGAUAUCGGAAGGAACGCCGGUGGCGAAAGCGCUCGACUGGACCUCUUCUGACGCUGAGGCGCGAAAGCCAGGGGAGCAAACGGGG